CCAGACUCCUACGGGAGGCAGCAGUGGGGGAUAUUGCACAAUGGGGGGAACCCUGAUGCAGCGACGCCGCGUGGGUGAAGAAGCGCCUCGGCGCGUAAAGCCCUGUCAGCAGGGAAGAAAAUGACGGUACCUGAAGAAGAAGCCCCGGCUAACUACGUGCCAGCAGCCGCGGUAAUACGUAGGGGGCGAGCGUUAUCCGGAUUCACUGGGUGUAAAGGGAGCGUAGACGGCCAUGCAAGCCAGGGGUGAAAGCCCGGGGCCCAACCCCGGGACUGCAUUUGGAACUGUGCCGCUAGAGUGUCGGAGAGGCAGGCGGAAUUCCUAGUGUAGCGGUGAAAUGCGUAGAUAUUAGGAGGAACACCAGUGGCGAAGGCGGCUUACUGGACUGUAACUGACGUUGAGGCUCGAAAGCGUGGGGAGCAAACAGGAUUAGAUACCCUUGUA
rnacentral:rRNA from 1 species